UAAUGCAGCUCAUGCUUGUCAGCCAGCCGCCACGCAUUCUCGCAUUCCGGGAGAGUCUCCAUCCACCUUUUCACUGCCUGCCACCCCACAGCUUGGAAAGAAUGGAGCUUGAACGGAGCUUUUUGGGGACUUUGCCUCACCAUAGCUCAGGAAAAGCGAUAAGAAGUGGGUGGCUCAGAUGGUAAAGAAUCUGCCUGCAAUGUGGGAGACCUGCAUUCGAUCCCUGGGUCAGAAGAUCUCCUGGAGAAGGGAAUGGCUAUCCACUCCAGUAUUCUUGCCUGGAGAAUUCCAUGGACAAAGGAGCCUGGCAGGCUACAGUCCAUGGGGUCACAAAGAGUCAGACAUGACUGAGCGACUGUCCCUCACUCACUCAUGCGGAGUAAUGCUCUGUGGACACACUGGAUCCUAGGUGCUGCUGUGCCGCCAUGGAUAUCCAGAAGCAAAAAUAAGGCAGGGAAAACUUGAACACUUGCCAAGGAUUUUGAGACUCUAGAUAAUAAAAGCUAACACUUCUAUGGUGCUUAUUAAGUACAAGGGCCUGUUUGAAGAGUUUUAUACAUAUUAACUCCUUAAAUUUUCCUAGCAACUCUAUGAAGCAGGUACUAUCAUUAUCCCCAUUUUACAGAAGAGGAAACUGAGGUACAGAGAGAUUAACUUGUUCAAGACCACAUGGCUAGUAGUUGUGGAGCUGGGAUUCACGCCCAGGUUAUCUGCUUUCAUAUUCCAUGAUCUUACCAGUGACCCGUACUGCCCAUCUGAAAUGUUGAGAAUGUGCUAACCAUGUUGCUGAUAAUUAUUUAUUUACAGUUUACUCUAUUUUUGAAUACUCUGAAAAAAUUUUUGUAGUUGUUUAGUCACUAACUUAUGUCCAACUCUUUUAUGACCCUGUGGACUGUAGCCCGCCAGACUCCCCUGUCCAUGGGAUUUCCCAGGGGAAAAUAUUGGAGUGGGUUGCCAUUCACUCCUCCAGGGGAUCUUCCCAAGCCAGGGAUGGAAUCUGAGCCUCCUUCAUUGGCAGGCAGGCUCACCACCACUGAUAUACCAAGGAAGCCCAGAAGAAAAAAUUUAGGAGAUGUCUAUUUCGGCACUUGGUAAUAACUCAGCUAUAGGAGAACACUUGAAUCCUGAUAGGAACGUUCACCAUAAGGUCUCAGAGUUGACAGGAAGUAGAAAAACCUCUGUGCCCGUGUUUAGACACCAAAGAAGAGAUAGCUGCUGUGCCUCUGUUUUGCUGGGACAGGGUGGUAUUCCCUGCCCAUGGGAGCUGGCACUGGCAGCAGUUAUAUCGGAGUCACUCUCAACACUCAGCUGCUUGCUAAGAAUUAAACUGCUGGAACCAGAUCUAGUGAGUUUCAUGUUACCAUGGUUUGGAUGAGGCGUUCGCACUGGUGUGAUAUAUUUAGUCUUCAGAAACAGUUACAUCUAAGCUUAGCUUUCUUACCAAAAUGAUAAUGUACGUUGGUAUUACUUGUGGUUAUUUGCUUCAUCUCCCAAGUAACAGAUCGCACACCUCUUUACUCUCUUAGGGGUAAGGCCAACCUCCAACCCUGUUUAUGGAGUGAGUCAACCGGGAAUUUAUUGCAACGAGCCGGGAGCAGCUAGUGCCUCUGCUGCCCUCUAGAGGCGCGUCAGAGCAUGACCGCUCACCUCGGAACCAUUCCCGUGGGUUGCACAGGGCCGACACCGUCGCUCUCCGUUUUGAGUUUCCAACCAAUGCCGUUUGUCAAGAGGGGAUGAGGUGAAAACACUCUGAACUUCCAAAAACAAUAAUGGGACGUAGUUAAUUUCAAGCUAGGACUUUCAUAGUUAUCUUGUGUCCUCCUCUCAGCCACUAACUGGAAAUCAGUCCACAUUGUUUGAAAACUAUAAAUAGAGCUAACACAGAGCAUUUGCCAAAUGCCAGGUACUGUUUAAGUGUUUCCCAUAUACUAAACGGAGCAGGCAAUGGCACCCCACUCCAGUACUCUUGCCUGGAGAAUCCCAUGGAUGGAGGAGCCUGGUGGGCUGCAGUCCAUGGGGUUGCUAAGAGUCAGACACGACUGAGCGACUUCCCUUUCACUUUUCACUUUCAUGCACUGGAGAAGGAAAUGGCAACCCACUCCAGUGUUCUUGCCUGGAGAAUCCCAGGGACGGGGGAGCCUGGUGGGCUGCCGUCUCUGGGGUCGCACAGAGUCGGACACGACUGAAGUGACUUAGCAGCAUAUACUAAACUGGGGGCUUCCCUGAUAGCUCAGUCGGUAAAGAAUCCGCGUGCAAUGCAGGAGACCCCGGUUGGAUUCCUG
ensembl:lncRNA